rnacentral:rRNA from 1 species
UAGGGAAUCUUGCGCAAUGGGCGAAAGCCUGACGCAGCCAUGCCGCGUGAAUGAUGAAGGUCUUAGGAUUGUAAAAUUCUUUCACCGGGGAAGAUAAUGACGGUACCCGGAGAAGAAGCCCCGGCUAACUUCGUGCCAGCAGCCGCGGUAAUACGAAGGGGGCUAGCGUUGCUCGGAAUUACUGGGCGUAAAGGGCGCGUAGGCGGAUAUCUAAGUUGGGGGUGAAAUCCCGGGGCUCAACCUCGGAAUUGCCUUCAAAACUGGAUAUCUUGAGUUCGGGAGAGGUGAGUGGAACUCCGAGUGUAGAGGUGAAAUUCGUAGAUAUUCGGAAGAACACCAGUGGCGAAGGCGACUCACUGGCCCGAUACUGACGCUGAGGCGCGAAAGCGUGGGGAGCAAACAG